rnacentral:rRNA from 1 species
AUGAACGCUAGCUACAGGCUUAACACAUGCAAGUCGAGGGGCAUCAGGGUGUAGCAAUACACCGCUGGCGACCGGCGCACGGGUGAGUAACACGUAUCCAACCUGCCCUUUACUCGGGGAUAGCCUUUCGAAAGAAAGAUUAAUACCCGAUGGUAUAACAUGACCUCCUGGUUUUGUUAUUAAAGAAUUUCGGUAGAGGAUGGGGAUGCGUUCCAUUAGGCAGUUGGCGGGGUAACGGCCCACCAAACCUUCGAUGGAUAGGGGUUCUGAGAGGAAGGUCCCCCACAUUGGAACUGAGACACGGUCCAAACUCCUACGGGAGGCAGCAGUGAGGAAUAUUGGUCAAUGGGCGAGAGCCUGAACCAGCCAAGUAGCGUGAAGGAUGACCGCCCUAUGGGUUGUAAACUUCUUUUAUAUGGGAAUAAAGGGUGCCACGUGUGGCAUUUUGUAUGUACCAUAUGAAUAAGGAUCGGCUAACUCCGUGCCAGCAGCCGCGGUAAUACGGAGGAUCCGAGCGUUAUCCGGAUUUAUUGGGUUUAAAGGGAGCGUAGGUGGACAUGUAAGUCAGUUGUGAAAGUUUGCGGCUCAACCGUAAAAUUGCAGUUGAAACUGCGUGUCUUGAGUACAGUAGAGGUGGGCGGAAUUCGUGGUGUAGCGGUGAAAUGCUUAGAUAUCACGAAGAACUCCGAUUGCGAAGGCAGCUCACUGGACUGCAACUGACACUGAUGCUCGAAAGUGUGGGUAUCAAACAGGAUUAGAUACCCUGGUAGUCCACACAGUAAACGAUGAAUACUCGCUGUUUGCGAUAUACAGUAAGCGGCCAAGCGAAAGCAUUAAGUAUUCCACCUGGGGAGUACGCCGGCAACGGUGAAACUCAAAGGAAUUGACGGGGACCCGCACAAGCGGUGGAGCAUGUGGUUUAAUUCGAAGCAACGCGAAGAACCUUACCAGGUCUUGACAUCCGAUGCAUAACACAGAGAUGUGUGAAAUCCUUCGGGACAUCGAGACAGGUGGUGCAUGGUUGUCGUCAGCUCGUGCCGUGAGGUGUCGGCUUAAGUGCCAUAACGAGCGCAACCCUUAUCUUCAGUUACUAACAGGUCAUGCUGAGGACUCUGGAGAGACUGCCGUCGUAAGAUGUGAGGAAGGUGGGGAUGACGUCAAAUCAGCACGGCCCUUACGUCCGGGGCUACACACGUGUUACAAUGGGGGGUACAGAAGGCCGCUACACAGCGAUGUGAUGCCAAUCCCUAAAGCCCCUCUCAGUUCGGAUCGAAGUCUGCAACCCGACUUCGUGAAGCUGGAUUCGCUAGUAAUCGCGCAUCAGCCACGGCGCGGUGAAUACGUUCCCGGGCCUUGUACACACCGCCCGUCAAGCCAUGGGAGCCGGGGGUACCUGAAGUACGUAACCGCAAGGAGCGUCCUAGGGUAAAACUGGUGACUGGGGCU